rnacentral:lncRNA from 10 species
CCUCCUCCUCAGAAUAACACUGUGGGUACUGUCCCUGUUUCGUAAGGAAGAAGACAGUGGCUGAAACAGUCUGAUGAUUGGUGCUGGAUAACAUCGAGUCAGGAUCCGCAUCUGCCUCCGUCGGCUUCUUCAGCCUGUGCAUUUUCCAGUGCACCAAGCCGCUGGUCCCAGCCCAAAGUGUGGUGCUCCAAGCCUGUCCUCCUGUUCUCUGGCCCUCCUUUCUUUCCUCUCACCUGUCACACUUUCAGACAGUCACCAGGAAGCAGGCAUAAACCUUGCGGAAUGACGAGAUCUGCAAGCUCAGGAAAGCCCCACGCCUCUGUCUUGGGAUACUCAAACCACACCUCCCGGGCAAGGGCUCCCCUGGGGAGGAAUAUGAGCCACAAUUGUAUGAAAAUCUUUCCUGGACACCUUCGGAUAAGAUGAAAUAAACUUGGAGAAUGGCAUCUGUGUUGGAAGAAAGUUCUGGACUCCACAGUGGCUUGCUCCAGAAAAGCCAAACCAUCAGCUCUCUUGACAGCACAGAGAAUGCCAGUGUGUGGGAAACAGACCGCGGUCACCCUGAGCGGCAAGGGGCUUUCCAGUGCUUAGGCUCUGAAUGUGAAACAUUUUAGAAAGAGAUGAAACAAUUUUUUUCGCUUGUAUUUUCCUAUGUGUUUGAAGGUCGAUAGAUGAUAAAAAUGUGUCUGAAUAAGUCUGAUUUAGUCUCAAAGAUCUCUUUCAAUAAACCUAAACAUUUCAAACAGAUAAGACAGGAUUGUGUGAUAGUUUAAUUGGUGGUUGUUUUUCUUUCUUCAUGGUACAUAAGUUAACAGUGCCUCUUUUAAAGGUUAAGUCUCAAAUUUGAUAAAAUACUACGUGGUUGGCAUCAGGAAGCUAGAAUGCUCCAAAUCAGGACAAAAGACCAUGUCAGAAUAAUAUCUGGGCCCCAGG